rnacentral:tRNA from 2 species
GGCAGGUUGCCCGAGCGGCCAAAGGGAACGGUCUGUAAAACCGUCGGCUCAGCCUACGAUGGUUCGAAUCCAUCACCUGCCACCA